GGGAGGGAAGGCGAGAUCGUUCGGCGCGAAGGGCACGGGCACGGAUGGGAGGCGCGAUCUUCCAGCCGAGCACGGCUUUCGUGUGUUUGCUGGCGAGUAUGGCGCAACACGCGAUACGAU
rnacentral:ribozyme from 1 species